rnacentral:rRNA from 1 species
AUGACGUACUUGUACUGAUUGAGAUUUUAACACGAAGUGAGUGGCGAACGGGUGAGUAACACGUGGGUAACCUGCCCAGAAGUAGGGGAUAACACCUGGAAACAGAUGCUAAUACCGUAUAACAGAGAAAACCGCAUGGUUUUCUUUUAAAAGAUGGCUCUGCUAUCACUUCUGGAUGGACCCGCGGCGUAUUAGCUAGUUGGUGAGGUAAAGGCUCACCAAGGCAGUGAUACGUAGCCGACCUGAGAGGGUAAUCGGCCACAUUGGGACUGAGACACGGCCCAGACUCCUACGGGAGGCAGCAGUAGGGAAUCUUCCACAAUGGACGCAAGUCUGAUGGAGCAACGCCGCGUGAGUGAAGAAGGGUUUCGGCUCGUAAAGCUCUGUUGUUAAAGAAGAACGUGGGUAAGAGUAACUGUUUACCCAGUGACGGUAUUUAACCAG